rnacentral:rRNA from 1 species
GAUGAACGCUGGCGGCGUGCUUAACACAUGCAAGUCGAGCGAAGCGCUUAAGUUUGAUUCUUCGGAUGAAGACUUUUGUGACUGAGCGGCGGACGGGUGAGUAACGCGUGGGUAACCUGCCUCAUACAGGGGGAUAACAGUUAGAGAUGACUGCUAAUACCGCAUAAGACCACGGUACCGCAUGGUACAGUGGUAAAAACUCCGGUGGUAUGAGAUGGACCCGCGUCUGAUUAGGUAGUUGGUGGGGUAACGGCCUACCAAGCCGACGAUCAGUAGCCGACCUGAGAGGGUGACCGGCCACAUUGGGACUGAGACACGGCCCAGACUCCUACGGGAGGCAGCAGUGGGGAAUAUUGCACAAUGGAGGAAACUCUGAUGCAGCGACGCCGCGUGAAGGAUGAAGUAUUUCGGUAUGUAAACUUCUAUCAGCAGGGAAGAAA